GAGUUUGAUCCUGGCUCAGAACGAACGCUGGCGGCGUGCUUAACACAUGCAAGUCGAAUGUGAUCCAGAGCUUGCUCUGGUGAAAGUGGCGCACGGGUGAGUAACGCGUGGAUAACCUGCCCUGGUAUCUGGGAUAACAUCUCGAAAGGGGUGCUAAUACCGGAUAAGCCUACGGACUCCUCGGAGUCUGCAGGAAAAGGUGGCCUCUAUUUAUAAGCUACCGUAUCAGGAUGGGUCCGCGUACCAUUAGCUAGUUGGUGGGGUAAUGGCCUACCAAGGCGACGAUGGUUAGCUGGUCUGAGAGGAUGAUCAGCCACACUGGAACUGAGACACGGUCCAGACUCCUACGGGAGGCAGCAGUGGGGAAUUUUGCGCAAUGGGGGAAACCCUGACGCAGCAACGCCGCGUGAGUGAUGAAGGCUUUCGGGUCGUAAAGCUCUGUCAGAGGGGAAGAAAUGAGACUGGCUAAUAUCCAGUUUUCUUGACGGUACCCUCAAAGGAAGCACCGGCUAACUCCGUGCCAGCAGCCGCGGUAAUAC
rnacentral:rRNA from 1 species